rnacentral:rRNA from 1 species
CGAACGCACUUUCGUUAAUUGAUUUUGAGAUGCUUGCAUCGAAGAUGAUUUUAACUAUAAAGUGAGUGGCGAACGGGUGAGUAACACGUGGGUAACCUGCCCAGAAGUGGGGGAUAACACCUGGAAACAGAUGCUAAUACCGCAUAACAAAAUUAACCGCAUGGUUGAUUUUUAAAAGAUGGCUUCGGCUAUCACUUCUGGAUGGACCCGCGGCGUAUUAGCUAGUUGGUGAGAUAAAGGCUCACCAAGGCAGUGAUACGUAGCCGACCUGAGAGGGUAAUCGGCCACAUUGGGACUGAGACACGGCCCAGACUCCUACGGGAGGCAGCAGUAGGGAAUCUUCCACAAUGGACGCAAGUCUGAUGGAGCAACGCCGCGUGAGUGAUGAAGGCUUUCGGGUCGUAAAACUCUGUUGUUGGAGAAGAACGUGUGUGAGAGUAACUGCUCAUGCAGUGACGGUAUCCAACCAGAAAGCCACGGCUAACUACGUGCCAGCAGCCGCGGUAAUACGUAGGUGGCAAGCGUUAUCCGGAUUUAUUGGGCGUAAAGCGAGCGCAGGCGGUCUUUUAAGUCUAAUGUGAAAGCCUUCGGCUUAACCGAAGAAGUGCAUUGGAAACUGGGAGACUUGAGUGCAGAAGAGGAGAGUGGAACUCCAUGUGUAGCGGUGAAAUGCGUAGAUAUAUGGAAGAACACCAGUGGCGAAGGCGGCUCUCUGGUCUGCAACUGACGCUGAGGCUCGAAAGCAUGGGUAGCGAACAGGAUUAGAUACCCUGGUAGUCCAUGCCGUAAACGAUGAAUGCUAAGUGUUGGAGGGUUUCCGCCCUUCAGUGCUGCAGCUAACGCAUUAAGCAUUCCGCCUGGGGAGUACGACCGCAAGGUUGAAACUCAAAAGAAUUGACGGGGGCCCGCACAAGCGGUGGAGCAUGUGGUUUAAUUCGAAGCUACGCGAAGAACCUUACCAGGUCUUGACAUCUUCUGCUAACCUAAGAGAUUAGGCGUUCCCUUCGGGGACGGAAUGACAGGUGGUGCAUGGUUGUCGUCAGCUCGUGUCGUGAGAUGUUGGGUUAAGUCCCGCAACGAGCGCAACCCUUAUUAUUAGUUGCCAGCAUUAAGUUGGGCACUCUAGUGAGACUGCCGGUGACAAACCGGAGGAAGGUGGGG